UCAGGUGUAGCCUGGGUACUUGGUGCUGCUUUGAGAGUGUCUGUGUUGCGAGUGUCUUAGUGCCUGAGCCCGGGGAAAUGAGUUCACUCCUCCUCUGUCUGCUCCUUGUAGUCUUUUAUGCUGUGCUGAGGCUCGCCAGAUCUGAGGCUUCUCCGAGGAAGAGGAGGCACAGAGCCAAAAAGAAGAAACCGAAAGCUUUUGGGUGCUGUGCGGAAGAGCUGGAGGCUGGUGCAUCC